ACAAUGGGAUUUGACUCAGCCAUCAGAAAGGAUGAAUACCCACCAUUUCCUAUACAUUUGAAUUUGAGGUGGGUCACCCACUCACCUCCGCUCCCUUCUGGGACUCAGGAACUCCAGUUUUGCCUCCUUCGGGAGUACUGGCUGGGUGAAGCUUAGACUCUUCUCCCUCGGGGUGGGCGGACAGGGUGGUGAGCAAAUGACACAGUCCUCUGCUUUGCUCCUUCCUGCCCUGCCCAGGGAUUUCUACCCUGUGCUCAAGGCUGCUGGCUGGCCUCAGUGCCUUGCCAUUUGGGUCAGAGCUGUUCCCCACUUGAGUCCUUCAUUUGUAUAGAGCCUUGUGGUGUUGGGGGGGCACCUUCCCGACCUCUCCCAAGGGCCCCCGGCCUCUGUGUAUUGGCAAGGGAUCCAUCCAACUAGUUAACAGGACUUAGGACCACUUCCGAGAGGACUGAAGCUGGCUGCUGAUGGUGGGCACCGUAAAGCCUGAAAACACCGAGUCACUUAAUCCCCCAACAGUAAAGACUAAAUUCACAUGCGAUUGGUGAUUUCGCCACACCACCUCCCUCCGCACAGGACACUGCAGUGAUUUUCACAGACUCAUCACAGACAAGUCUGAGCUGGGACCCGGAGCUGCAGAGGACAUACGGUGGCUCAGCAUAAACGGCCAAUGUGGGGACAUUGCCUCGGUGCAGGUGCAGAAACCCCAAGUCACAAUUCACAGUGGAGUCCAGCUCCUUCCGACUUCAGGAAUGUUCCUGCCAGCUACCUCCUCAAACAGCAGGUUUAAAACAAGGAAAUCUCCACCAACUAGCUCCUCCCAGGGGAUUUUGUGGCCACGUUGGAUGGGAAGACGGGGUGGUGCUGCGGUGUCACAAAACAUCAACUCAGGGAGCAAACACAGACGUUCACAUACACUCCGAUCUGUGAGUUUCAAGAGGGUCUCGUUGUAAUGCCAAUUAUUUUUCAUGAGUAAAUGGUACUACAGAUAAAAUUCCUACGACCUAGAAUGCCGUGUAUUUUGAUGACAGGUCAGCCCGUGAGGCCACAUCAUCUAAGUUCAUGUUUUAGAGCUGCUGUGGAAAGUAAAUGAGUCAACCCAGGUAAAACGCUGGACACAGGGUGAGGCAUUCCAGGAAGUCACUUUUGUCCUGAUCCGGCCCAUGACUUCUGGCUGACUGCUAAGUGAUGAGCUAAGCAGUUAGCUCCAGAUCUUGGUUGUUGCCCUAUUUUUUUUCCCCCCCUUCCAGACCAUAUGGGUUCACUUUUCUCCAAAAACUUUGCCAAAAAAACAAGGAACAAUCCAUCUGCCACUUAAACAAGAACAGAUUUAUUGCUUUUAACUUUAAAAAAAAAAAAAAAGAUGUCAAGUGCAAAAAAAAGAUGCAUUCCCCUCAUUGGGGGCCUGACGCAGGCUGCCAUGUCCGGUGGCUGAUGCUGUCCCAAUAUCCAUUCAUUGGAUCGAAGCCAAGGGAGAGAACCUAGGGGUUUUGCCCUAAAGUGGGAGGUGACAAAAAGGAUCAGUAGUCGCUGGCCCCAGGGACUCUAAUAUCUACUUUGUUUCACUGGAUUUUAUAUUUGCUGAAGGCCUGGAAGGCUCCCAGCCCUUCAUCCAUGGGUCAGGCGAACUUUGUUAUAGUAGGGUCUGCAGUGCUAGUGACCAGUAACCCUGCACCUGCCCCAGCUGCCAGGGACAUUCAAGCAUUGCUCAUAAGAUGGACAAUGGAUAAGUCAGACUGCCUGACAGUUGGGGACUUAGGAGAACAUCAUUUUCCUUUUGCCAAGAUCAUCUUCGGGCUGCCUUGUUAGGACCCAAGCUAUUUUCUAUGGUCACAGAGACCUACUUUACUUAAAAAGUUUAGUUUCGUUCCAUUUAAUUUUCUAAACAGAUAAUACGUUCAGAUGUUUCAAAAUUCAAAG